UACGGAGGGGGGCUAGCGUUGUUCGGAAUUACUGGGCGUAAAGGGCGCGUAGGCGGACAGUUUAGUCAGAGGUGAAAGCCCAGGGCUCAACCUUGGAACUGCCUUUGAUACUGACUGUCUUGAGUUCGGGAGAGGUGAGUGGAAUGCCGAGUGUAGAGGUGAAAUUCGUAGAUAUUCGGCGGAACACCAGUGGCGAAGGCGACUCACUGGCCCGAUACUGACGCUGAGGCGCGAAAGCGUGGGGAGCAAACAGGG
rnacentral:rRNA from 1 species